rnacentral:tRNA from 1 species
GAGGGUAUAGCUCGGUGGUAGAGUGCUUGCCUAGCAUGCACAAGGUCCUGGGUUCAAUCCCCAGUACUGCCA